rnacentral:lncRNA from 13 species
AGCAGGACUGGUCCUGUGGCCAACACACCCUCUACCAACCCUGCAUGGGGCCCCUGACCCCCAAGCCUACAGGCAUACACAUCCCACCAUGAAAAGACCCCAAUCUUCCUGGUGUGAGGGCAGGCAUCAUUUCAGGGUAUCAUCCUCCUGCCCUGUGUGGACAAUGCUGAGCCCCUGAGAGCCGGGAGGGAGGUACCCCAAUACCCAUCUCUUCCACAGUGAAUGUUGCUCCUCAAAGGGUCACUUCCAAAGAAUGCCAGGUGGCACGCACCAGGAUUUGGCAUCUGACAUGCUCCCGUCUGCUCCCUGGGACACUCCAGAUUACAAAGCAAUCAUCCUUUGUAAGCGCUGACGGAGAACAACUGGCUGCUGCCCUUUAUUUAGCAGGGAACACACUAAGCUAUGGACUCCUGCAGGCUCUGUAAAUGUCCGUGAAAUCAGCCUGGUGACUCCAAGCCCAGUGUAGACUUCGGGGGCCCAAAGAGACCAAGGGGGAGCCCCUGCCCCGGUCUGGCUCUGAGAACAGCCUCCAGGAGAAAAUGCCAAGCCUCUGGAACUCGUGGCAGCUGCUCAACCCGGCAAGUUCUUUCUCGGAAAUCGCUUCUCCCCGCUGAGAUCUGGGCUGGCUCUGCACGUUCUGGCCCCCUUUAUCUGCUGGAUGGAGCUGCCUGGGCACCUCCAAAGGCUGCUCCCGUGCAGACAGAGUUCCUUUAAAGAAUGUGCAAAAGGAUGAAAACCUUACAAACUAGAACAGCGCAUGACAUGUGAUUUCUGAAGAUUUCAAACAUGCAAGAGUAAAAGGAAUGAUGGGAUGAACCUUCAUACCCAUCACCCAGCCUCAGCUCCUGCGGCCAAACUGGUUUCAUCUACAACCACCGCUGCUUUUUUUUCCUCCCCUCAUUCUAUUAUUUUGAAGCAAAUCUCAAAUACAUCUGUCCAUCUGUAAAUAUUUCUAAAAGAUAACAUUUUUGUAACAUAAUUAUCA